UACGAAGGGGGCUAGCGUUGCUCGGAAUGACUGGGCGUAAAGGGCGCGUAGGCGGUUCAUACAGUCAGAUGUGAAAUUCCUGGGCUCAACCUGGGGGCUGCAUUUGAUACGUGUGGACUAGAGUGGGGAAGAGGGUCGUGGAAUUCCCAGUGUAGAGGUGAAAUUCGUAGAUAUUGGGAAGAACACCGGUGGCGAAAGCGGCGACCUGGUCCUUGACUGACGCUGAGGCGCGAAAGCGUGGGGAGCAAACAGG
rnacentral:rRNA from 1 species